GAAAGAUUUAUCGGUGCGAGAUGGGCCCGCGGCCUAUCAGCUUGUUGGCGGGGUAACGGCCCACCAAGGCGACGACGGGUAGCCGACCUGAGAGGGUGACCGGCCACACUGGGACUGAGACACGGCCCAGACUCCUACGGGAGGCAGCAGUGGGGAAUAUUGCACAAUGGGCGGAAGCCUGAUGCAGCGACGCCGCGUGAGGGAUGACGGCCUUCGGGUUGUAAACCUCUUUCGACAGGGACGAAGCGUAAGUGACGGUACCUGUAGAAGAAGCACCGGCCAACUACGUGCCAGCAGCCGCGGUAAUACGUAGGGUGCGAGCGUUGUCCGGAAUUACUGGGCGUAAAGAGCUUGUAGGCGGUCUGUCGCGUCGUCCGUGAAAACUUGGGGCUCAACCCCAAGCUUGCGGGCGAUACGGGCAGACUUGAGUACUUCAGGGGAGACUGGAAUUCCUGGUGUAGCGGUGAAAUGCGCAGAUAUCAGGAGGAACACCGGUGGCGAAGGCGGGUCUCUGGGAAGUAACUGACGCUGAGAAGCGAAAGCGUGGGUAGCGAACAGGAUUAGAUACCCUGGUAGUCCACGCCGUAAACGGUGGGUACUAGGUGUGGGUUUCCUUCCACGGGAUCCGUGCCGUAGCUAACGCAU
rnacentral:rRNA from 1 species